GAAAAGUGGUCUUUGUGUACAGGAUGUUUUAGUACAUGUUUCAUUGAGAAAUGCUAUUCAAAGGGAAAAUAAAAGUGGUCUUUGUGUACAGGUUGUUUUAGGACAUGUUUCAUUGCUAUUCAAAGGGAAUAAAGUGGUCUUUGUGUACAGGAUGUUUCAGUACAUGUUUCAUUGAGAAAUGCUAUUUAAAGGGAAAUAAAAGUGGUCUUUGAAGACAGGUGGUCUUUGUGUACAGAUUGUUUUAGUACAUGUUUCAUUGCUAUUCAAGGGAAAAUAAAAGUGGUCUUUGAAGACAGGUGGUCUUUGUGUACAGGAUGUUUAAAUACAUGUUUCGAUGAGAAAUGCUAUUCAUAGUGAAAUAAAAGUGGUCUUUGAAGACAGGUGGUCUUUGUGUACAGAUUGUUUAAGUACAUGUUUCAUUGAGAAAUGCUAUUCAAAGGGAAAAUAAAAGUGGUCUUUGAAGACAGCUAGGUGGUCUUUGUGUACAGGAUGUUUUAGUACAUGUUUCAAUGAGAAAUGUUAUUCAAAGGGAAAAUAAAAGUGGUCUUUGUGUUUCAUUGAGAAAUGCUAUUCGAAGGGAAAAUAAAAGUGGUCUUUGUGUACAGGAUGUUUUAGUACGUUUCAUUGAGAAAUGCUAUUUAAAGGAAGAAAAAAGUGGUCUUUGAAGACAGGUGGUCUUUGUGUACAGGAUGUUUUAGUACAUGUUUCAUUGAGAAAUGCUAUUUAAAGGAAGAAAAAAGUGGUCUUUGAAGACAGGUGGUCUUUGUGUACAGGAUGUUUUAAUUACAUGUUUCAUUGAGAAAUGCUAUUUAAAGGAAGAAAAAAGUGGUCUUUGAAGACAGGUGGUCUUUGUGUACAGGAUGUUUUAAUUACAUGUUUCAUUGAGAAAUGCUAUUUAAAGGAAGAAAAAAGUGGUCUUUGAAGACAGGUGGUCUUUGUGUACAGGAUGUUUUAAUUACAUGUUUCAUUGAGAAAUGCUAUUUAAA